rnacentral:lncRNA from 1 species
CCUCCCCGACCCCUCGCGCCCCUGUCUGUCCUGGCCUCCGCUCCAGCCUCUCCACUGCACCCUGCUCGCGCUGUCGUCUCUUUCUGUCUCUGUCCCUCUCUUUUAACUCCCUUUGUGACAUAACUUUGUAAAGGGGGUAUGGACAUGUAACACGCAUUGCUCUCCUGGGUCCUGGCUUUCCCUCUCCACCCGGUAACACUGUCGGAGUCAGUGCAGCCAGAACCGGCGCCGCCCCGGGCCUGUAAUUCUCGUCCUUUCCCUUGGGUCCUCCCUCCGCCAUCUCUAGGUUGUGACGGGCAUAUCUUUUAGAGGGAAGCGGCCGCUGGAGGUAGAGCUGUUCGAGUCCAGUGCCUGGGAGACCGGAGGCCUCCGCACGGGCGGGAGCAACUCGGCUGAGCAAGGAAUAACACGCAGAACACAGUUUAAGUGUUGUUCCUUUUUAUUGAAAGUUGCAGUGCUGAGGGAUUCGGAGAAAAUGGUUCUGAAGGAGUUAAAUGUAGUGGCAGCUGGAUAUUUGGGGAGCGCUAGCAACAUUCGCCAGGUCCAAUAUUAUGGUGACAUCUGAAAGGAGGUGUUGCAAACCACUGGAGGACAGAGCUUCGUGCUUUGAUCUCAUGUCCCAGUCAUUCUUUAGCACAGAGGGAUUGCACUUGAUUCCACUUGAUCGCAAAAUGAAGCAGAUGAUCUGGGCCAAUGGAGAACAUUCUGAGGAAGAAAGUGCUGACUCUGGAAGCAGAAACUCCCUUCAAGUCUUUGUACCAUACAGCUCCCUUAAACUAGGACCUGAAAAUCGGUUUCUUCUUAUUAGUACUAGAUUAAUUACGGAAAUUCUGAACACACUGAAACUGGAAAAAGACCAAAAAAAUGGAGACAAGAACCUAUGCCUUUUUAAAACUACACUGCAACAGAGAAAAUAG